CCCCUCUCAGGGACACAUCUGGAGAGUUUCCAGUCCUCUACCAGCCUUGACUAUGGGAGAAAGAGUCCAGCAGAGGCAUACCCCUUCCAUUCCUAGCUUGGGCAGUGGCUAGCGAGUGGAAGGUAAUCAGCUACAAAU